AAUUCUGUCUUGAAUUCCAUCAUGACUGAUCAGAGCGUAUAAAAUACCGCGACUUACGUUCUCCAAAUCUAGAAAUAAAAACUAACAGUACCGUGAACUUUCGAUCAAGUUCCUGGAACUUCCUGACUGACAGGACAUUUAUCUUCGAUGGACACAUGGAAUUUCUUCCCCGCGAGCAUAAUCGCGAGACGAGUGAAAAAGGAAAAAAAUGGGUCGUCUAUCGGUGUUAUGGCUGACUGGCAUCCAACGUAAUUACCGUUGACGACACAUUUCCGCAUCGAACAAAGUGACUUCCAGCAGGCCCGCUACUUCCUUCACCCCUGUUCGUACCUAGAUGGGCAGAUGGGCCUGUUAAGUCAUUAUCGUUAUUGUUUGUGUGCGACGCGCGCGACGGGGCACUCGUCGAUCUGCGUGUCUGGAUUAAUAUACCGGGUGGCGGAAAUAGAUCACCGAUGACACGAGAAAGAUGGUGAGUCACACCGGCGCCAAUCCUCGGGAUUGCUUGACCUGGGUCUGAGCUAUUCGGAGGAAAUAAAUUGCUCGGGGAAAAAAGGAAGGCGAAUAUGAGAUCAUCACGAUGCUUUUAAAAAUAAUUAAAGAAAGCUGAGAACGAUGUCGAACUGUUGGGGUCUGCGUGCAGUUGAACGUGCCUAGUGUACUAAAUUAUAUCGUCCCGAAUGUAACUGUUUCUUUUCUAACUUCGCCAUAUUAAGAACACGAAUAGCGUCGGUUGAUAUAAGCGAACGGAAGCGAACUGUUUCGUCGAGAAAGGACGCGCGACUAAGUUCGCCAACGCAAACGCGCAUCGCAGACGAUCCUAUUUAUGCGUGAGACGGGCUAGUUAUGCGCACAUGGCGACACAUCGCUGAGCAGUCACCUCUAUUUCGACCGACGAAUCCCGUCAGCGUAGGCCGUAGGAAACUUCAAAGAGUUUAGUAUAUGCAGUGACUUAAACGUGGGAGGAAUUUUUGCGUUCAGAAGUGAGGUGGAGUGAAAACAGAUUUCGUUUCUAAACAUAAACAAAGUUUAUAAAUAUACAUAAAUAAAUAACGACAGACACCGCUGUUCCGAAGUUAAAUCAAGAAAUUAGGCCACUUCGUUUUUCAAGAUAUUUACUUUAAAUAAAAAAUACCGGAAAAGAUUGUUAGAAAAAUCGCUUAUUUCUAAAAUAUACAUGUCCACAUAAACUAUUCUCUUACUUAACGAAAAAAAUUUUAAUAGUUCACAUAGAUUCUUGUUUGAGAAAAUAUUAUUAGAAAACUUUUAUUUUCCCCUAUAUGAUCUCAUCGAUGAUUUUAAUUUGACAAGCAUUUAUAUAUGUACGCGGUUAAGAAUUUAUGAGUUGUCGUGUCGAAAAUACAUUCGUCUUAAAACAAAAGGUAUUCAGAAUGCUGAGCACGCGACUUGCGAUUAUAACUUUAGACACAGAGGAUUGGACAGUGAGGCAUUGCUCUGAUAUCACCGAACCGUGAUUCAUACCUCUAUUGCGAACUUACGAUUAUUAUAUGCGAUUAUGGUAGUUCGUGAAUGUGAAAAACGUGAAACGCGGAAGAAUCGUGAGCGAAGAAUAUAAAAAAAAUCGAUCCUAUCGCCACGUGACAGAAAUAACAAUGAUUUCUCAAGGGAAUUGGUUCGAUAAUAACAUCGGUAUAAUCAGAAUGGCCCGAAUGCUCAAUUAAAGGUCGGUUGGGAAAGUUUCCGGUUCAUCUCUCGUCACGGCCCUUUGGGAUUAGCUUAGUCAAAUGCAGCGGAAUUUAAAAUCGAAAUACCUUUCAUAAAAUAGUGCGGUAUAAUUUUCAAAUUUUCAAUAACAUUUAUUUUAUAAAACUUAUUAAAAUAAUAAAAUUUUAUUUAA